UUGGAGGGCAAGUCUGGUGCCAGCAGCCGCGGUAAUUCCAGCUCCAAUAGCGUAUAUUAAAGUUGUUGCAGUUAAAAAGCUCGUAGUUGAACUUCGGGGUCUACCCAUUGGUCAGGCUUAAUUGUCUGCACUGGUGAGAUGGAUCUCUACCUUCUGAGGAACUUUCAUGCCAUUUAUUUGGUGUGAUGGGAAAUCAGGACUGUUACUUUGAAAAAAUUAGAGUGUUUAAAGCAGACUAUCGUCUGAAUACAUUAGCAUGGAAUAAUGAAAUAGGACGGACUGAUUCUAUUUCGUUGGUUUCUAGGAUCACCGUAAUGAUUAAUAGGGAUAGUUGGGGGCAUUAGUAUUCAAUUGUCAGAGGUGAAAUUCUUGGAUUUAUUGAAGACUAACUACUGCGAAAGCAUUUGCCAAGGAUGUUUUCAUUAAUCAAGAACGAAAGUUAGGGGAUCGAAGACGAUCAGAUACCGUCGUAGUCUUAACCAUAAACUAUGCCGACUAGGGAUCGGACGAAGUUAAUUUUAUAAUGACGCGUUCGCGCCUUACAGGAAAC
rnacentral:rRNA from 1 species